ACCUGCCCAAGAGACUGGGAUAACACCUGGAAACAGAUGCUAAUACCGGAUAACAACACUAGACGCAUGUCUAGAGUUUGAAAGAUGGUUCUGCUAUCACUCUUGGAUGGACCUGCGGUGCAUUAGCUAGUUGGUAAGGUAACGGCUUACCAAGGCAAUGAUGCAUAGCCGAGUUGAGAGACUGAUCGGCCACAUUGGGACUGAGACACGGCCCAAACUCCUACGGGAGGCAGCAGUAGGGAAUCUUCCACAAUGGACGAAAGUCUGAUGGAGCAACGCCGCGUGAGUGAAGAAGGGUUUCGGCUCGUAAAGCUCUGUUGGUAGUGAAGAAAGAUAGAGGUAGUAACUGGCCUUUAUUUGACGGUAAUUACUUAGAAAGUCACGGCUAACUACGUGCCAGCAGCCGCGGUAAUACGUAGGUGGCAAGCGUUGUCCGGAUUUAUUGGGCGUAAAGCGAGUGCAGGCGGUUCAAUAAGUCUGAUGUGAAAGCCUUCGGCUCAACCGGAGAAUUGCAUCAGAAACUGUUGAACUUGAGUGCAGAAGAGGAGAGUGGAACUCCAUGUGUAGCGGUGGAAUGCGUAGAUAUAUGGAAGAACACCAGUGGCGAAGGCGGCUCUCUGGUCUGCAACUGACGCUGAGGCUCGAAAGCAUGGGUAGCGAACAG
rnacentral:rRNA from 1 species